rnacentral:pre_miRNA from 1 species
UUAACUCAUAUUUGUAUGUAAUGCGAUCGAUUGCGUACGUUUGCCACUAGGGGCGCUGUUCCAACUGCAUACAAAUUUGGCUUA